UGCUAGCUGCAUAUAUAAACGGAUGUUUGCGUGCUUGCUAGCUAGUCUGCAACAAUGGGUAAAUGCAAGUUCAACGUCAGUUGGCUGGAAGACGUCCAUCUCCGAGGUUGGCUAGCGUCCGUUGCCAACCCAGAACAGGCCAGAUGCAUUCCGUGCAAAAGUAGCCUACAUUCAAGCUCGGCACCAUGGGGAUUAAGGCUGUCGUCAGCCAUAUGCAGAGCCAAAAACAUAAAACCUCUGCCAGGAGCCACACACAGACCCCAGCCAUUUCUACGUUUUGCAUCUCUGCCCCGGCGCUACCGCCGCAGACGGUCCGCGCUGCUAGCACUGACCUGAGGGCAGCAUUUGGUGCGACACCAACACUGAAAGCGGAGGUGUCGUGGAUUCUAAACACAGUGGUCAAGCACCAGUCCUAAAACUCGAAUGAGGGGAUAGGAGAUCUCUUCGGUUUGAUGUUCCCUGACUCUCAAAUCGCGAGCACCUUUACUGCUGGAAGGGACAAAACGGCGUAUAUAACUCGCUUCGGACCAGUGCCUUUCAUCCGAAACGAGCGAAUCUGCAGCGUCAACAAGGCUGAUUUUGUUUUGAUAUUUGAGACGUUGAACCACGCCACUAAAAGCAAGCAACUUGACGUGCACGUCCGAUAUUGGGUCGGAGAUCGAGUGCAUUCCCGGUACUUGGGCUCGCAAUUCAUGGGGCCCCACAUAUAUGGGGGUAAAAGGGAUGAUGAUACAUAAUAUUUUUUAGACAAUAUGCAGAAUCUUUUUACUUACUAAUUAACACGGUCGGCUAUUUUGCCAGCACGCCACCCUAGCCAUAUUAUGGGCAACCGUGUUCCCCUUGGCUGUGAUUUGAACUUUGAAUUCCUCGUAGGAGUUCAUAAUAAUACAUUGCUCGCUUUGGAUGAAAUACACCGCUCUUGCGCGAUUUAUUUUGCAUAAGGGUGAGUCAAAUGACGCGAGAAACGCCCAUUUUAUGUGAACGCGCAUUGAACCUAAAGCGGAAAACCUGGUUCAACUAAUUGAAUCUAAAGUGAGCGUCGUGGUACCAUUUAACUGUGAUUGCGAGUUGCGGCUCUGUCGAGCCAGGUUUUCCCAAGAAAGCCUGGGUAUGUUCAACGAGGUUCGUGGUAUAGCCUACCCCCCAGGUCUUACAGAAGGCAUUUAUUUAAUGGUGAAAAUAUUAUUAAUCAGUGGCGUAAAUAUCGACGGUGCAACCGGUGCAGCUGCCCGGGGGCCCAGACGCUGUCACCCCCCUCUCAACAACUUACAACUUGGGUGCACUAUAAAUACGUGCUGGGGCACCCAAAUUAAAAAUGUAGGCGCACCAGUGCACCCAAGGAAAGAAUUAGUCUGGAGCCCUGGAGUAUCACUUUAUGUUCAAUAAUCAGACAGAAAGUAAACUUGAAUGAGUCUCAUUGAGUGACCAUGCUAUGCUUGGGUUGUAAUACAGCGGGAUCCCCCCCACUAUCGCGGGUUUAAGGUCUUAAAUUUCAUUCAAGGUGUUAUUAAAAAGGUCUUAAAAAGUCUUAAAUUUGACUUGCUGAAACCUGCAGAUACCCUGUUUUAGCUACCGGCACAUUUCAGCGUGAGGUUGGAGACAUAUCCGGCACUUCUCAGCCAUCGAUGAGUAGGACCAUGCCGGCGGUGUUGGAAGCAAUUAUUUCCCUGGCCCCAAACUACAUCCAGUUCCCUUACAGAGAUCCCCAACAAGCCGAAAUCAAACGGGGCUUUCACGCCAUCGCCGGAUUCCCAAACAUAAUUGGAGCCAUAGAUUGCACCCACAUAGCCACAAAAGCACCGUCAACUAACGAAUUUAACUAUGUUAACAGAAAGGGGUUUCAUUCUGUCAACGUGCAAAUCGUUUGUGAUGCAAAUCUAUCCUUGUUAAACGUUGUUGCGUGGUGGCCUGGAGGAACACACGACUCAUUCAUCAUGCAGAACAGCUCUGUUGGUGUGAGUCUCCAAGAAGGCGCUGUGGAAGAUGGCUGGCUCAUUGGUGAUCAAGGUUACCCGCUGAAGCCAUGGCUAAUGACCCCCUUAACCAACCCGAGGACCCAGCAGGAAGUAUAACCGGGCCCAUGCGCGCACGAGGGGCACCGUUGAGCGCGAAAUAGGCCUGCUGAAAGGGCGAUGGCUGUGCCUUUCCAGCAAGGGGGGGGACACUGCAGUAUCGGCCUGAAAAGGUGUGAAGGAUCAUCAUAGCUUGCUGUGUGCUACACAAUUUAGCCAUCAGACAGGGGGUCCCUCUGCAGGAACUCCCCAGACCAGACGGUCCUAUGCCUGACGCGUUGCCCCUACCACCUCCUAAUGCCACUGGCCUUCAGACGAGACAGGAUCAUACAGAGAUUUUAGCUCCGCCUCCACCAGCACUCUUGGCGCACGGUGCACGGGAGGGACAAUGGACGGCCCCGGUUCCUCCGACUCCUCCAGCAACAGCACCAUGGGACCCACUGUGAAAGAAACUAAUUCACAAUAAUUUCACCGAGUUUAGUAUCGAAGGUUUUUUUCUUCUAAAUGUCAAAAUUUCAAUAAAAUGUUUGCAAACACAGUUUGUUUCUUGUACCUUCAAUUUGAAUGUUAGGCAGCCCAGCGUCGGUGUCACCGUCCUGCCGGACAGAGCUGCGUCGCCAAUGAUGCUGGCAAUUGGGUUGUCCACAGGGCUCCAGAGUGCGACCUACCUAAUUUCUUAAGGUACGAGUUAAAAUUGAAUGAGGUCGCUCCGGUGCUACUUGCAGGAGGUGCUACCACAAAUCUCUCCCGCGGUUGUGGUUGAUAAUAAAAUCGUACUUUCUGGCUCAUUCCUGCGAGUCCACUACUCUCUCUCGCUCCCAGCUGUCUCUGCCUGCCUG